rnacentral:misc_RNA from 1 species
AUGAAUCAAAAAGUCGAUUUGACUGUGCUGGCAUUCAACGAUGCAUGUGCACGUCUAUCGGCAUAUAUCCACACACCUUGUGCACACCUAGACCACAGAGGGGUUCGUCGAGGCUUCGGUCUUGACUUGAGCAACUCUGCUGGUACUUUUUCACACACUCGUAUGUGAUUGGAAUGUUUAAAGUGCUUUAGCACUGAUAAAAUGUA